ACUCUCCAAAAAAAGACGUCAUGUCCGGCCACCUUCUUCUGAAAAACCAACAAGUUGUGAGAGACUUACAUUAGAGAUGUUUUAUCUGUACUUUCGCAGCUGAAGUGGCACACUUUGUUAGACUGAGUUAAGGAACCGGUGAAUCUCUGAGUGUCUCUUAAAAAUCAAGGCUACAGUCACUUCACCAACGGGAGAGGUGAGCAAGGGAGUGAUCUGCAACAGAAGGGCUAAAGAACAGUAGGUGACGCAGGCAGCAACGGAGAGCAGAGACACCAGGACCACCAUGCAGGCUGCGAUGACCACGUUUCUUCUCUUCUCCUCCUCGGCCUGCUGGAGCUCCCACCACUCCAGCAAGGGGAUGAACCACCACAAUAGAUGCUGGCUGGACCAUGUUGCCAUGUAUACGUUGCAGCUUUUUCCCAGUAUGCUUGUGGAAGCUCCUCAGCUCCCGGUGCUCCCAGUCAGAUAUCCACAACCUGUCCUCAAAUACAGCGAGGUCAAAAGGUCGACCUGGAUCAAUCAGAGGGAGGAAGAAUCCAGAGGAUUCACAAAGAAGAAGAAGAGAUCAGUGAGUGUAAAGGACCCGCCGACCUGAGCCAUCCAGGGCAGCAGUCUCCACCAGACCCCUCUUCAGGUCGCACCAGAACAGACGGUCAUCUGUGAAAUCGAUGGUCAGGCCGCUCGGUGACACAAGUACAUCCUGUGGUGGAUCCAGUCUAUAGCCAGUCCUUCUGGAGAGUCCAAACCAUCAGACACAAGGAUGUCCCUCGACCCACCGUUCAAAUCAACACGCUCUAUUGUCUUCUGCCUUGUGCUUGCGAAGAACACCUUCAAAACACAAAACAAAUAUCCAUUUAAAGAAAUUCAUUCAUUUUAUUGGAGCAGCAAAAGAAGGUAAGAGAUUGUUUUUCAUUUGAACUCCAUAAGCCAUCACAUAACAACUGUCUGUCCACUAGAUGGCACCAGCUGUCUUUAACAAACCUGAGUCAUGUCCACCAUGAGACAAACCCUUACUCAAGAAGCCUCAUGAGACUCGUGAGACUUUUGUGUCUAGUGAAACAACAAAUUGCAAUAAAGAAUGAAAGGUGUUUUAUCUUA